AUACGUAGGGGGCGAGCGUUGUCCGGAAUGAUUGGGCGUAAAGGGCGCGUAGGCGGCCCGGUAAGUCUGGAGUGAAAGUCCUGUUUUUAAGAUGGGAAUUGCUUUGGAUACUGUCGGGCUUGAGUGCAGGAGAGGUAAGUGGAAUUCCCAGUGUAGCGGUGAAAUGCGUAGAGAUUGGGAGGAACACCAGUGGCGAAGGCGACUUACUGGGCCGUAACUGACGCUGAGGCGCGAAAGCGUGGGGAGCGAACAGGAUUAGAUACCCUGGUAGUCCACGCGGUAAACGAUGAAUGCUAGGUGUUGCGGGUAUCGACCCCUGCAGUGCCGGAGUAAACACAAUAAGCAUUCCGCCUGGGGAGUACGGCCGCAAGGUUGAAACUUAAAGGAAUUGACGGGG
rnacentral:rRNA from 1 species